rnacentral:rRNA from 1 species
AGUGAACGCUGGCGGUAGGCCUAACACAUGCAAGUCGAACGGCAGCACAGGAGAGCUUGCUCUCUGGGUGGCGAGUGGCGGACGGGUGAGGAAUACAUCGGAAUCUACUUUUUCGUGGGGGAUAACGUAGGGAAACUUACGCUAAUACCGCAUACGACCUACGGGUGAAAGCAGGGGAUCUUCGGACCUUGCGCGAUUGAAUGAGCCGAUGUCGGAUUAGCUAGUUGGCGGGGUAAAGGCCCACCAAGGCGACGAUCCGUAGCUGGUCUGAGAGGAUGAUCAGCCACACUGGAACUGAGACACGGUCCAGACUCCUACGGGAGGCAGCAGUGGGGAAUAUUGGACAAUGGGCGCAAGCCUGAUCCAGCCAUACCGCGUGGGUGAAGAAGGCCUUCGGGUUGUAAAGCCCUUUUGUUGGGAAAGAAAUCCAGCUGGCUAAUACCCGGUUGGGAUGACGGUACCAACAGAAUAAGCACCGGCUAACUCUGUGCCAGCCGCCGCGGUAA